GAUGAGAUGAGCCAGAUACCUCAGCUGGAAAUGCAGAAAUCACCCACCUUCUGCGUUGAUCUCUGCGGGAGCUGUAGACUGGAGCUCUUCCUAUUCGGCCAUCUUGCCAGCCACCCGUACUGUACUUUGGAAGAAAGUCACUACAUAUAGCCAGCACUUUAAAAGAAUGGAGAAUUAUGGUCCCUAUCCUUAAGGUACCUGUUAUUGAGUGAGAUAAGCAAAUGGUAUUUCAGGACCAAAACAUCUGUUUCCUGAAGAGUUGCUCCUUUAAUUGUGUAUCUACCUACCUGUCUAUGUAACUCUUGGCAAAUACAUUGGAGACUUCUCAACUUUCUGCUUCUGAUGAUCUCAACUUGUGGUAUGGCAAAAGGAGAGCAAAAUGUUCACCCAGGGGUCUGAGUUUGGUUCAAGAGAGGAACUACAGCUGUUGGUGACUACAACCAUCUGCCCAGAUGACAUCGUGAUCAACUCCUCUGAAUCACUCUAAAGGAACGAGAAGUCCUGGCAGCUGAGUCAUGAUCCCCCAGGAGCCAUUAAGAAGUUAAUCUUCAGUCACUUCCAUCCAAACAGAAGAAAACCCAUGAAGGAUGAGAACUAUGGGUCCUGAGAAUGACAGAAGCAGAUCAAGAAACUGGCGAUUGAAGAGUAACUGAAAGAAACGCAAUCUGAUCUUACUAGCAGUGAAAGAGCGAGUCUCCCUCUGAUGCCGAGCAGAAGCUAGACUGUACUGCUGCCAUCUCAGCUCACUGCAACCUCCCUGCCUGAUUCUCCUGCCUCAGCCUGCUGAGUGCCUGCAAUUGCAGGCGCGCCGCCACGCCUGACUGGUUUUCGUAUUUUUUUGGUGGAGACGGGGAUUCGCUGUGUUGGCCGGGCUGGUCUCCAGCUCCUAACCGCGAGUGAUCCACCAGCCUCGGCCUCCUGAGGUGCCGGGAUUGCAGACGGAGUCUGGUUCACUCAGUGCUCAAUGGCGCCCAGACUGGAGUGCAGUGGCGUGAUCUCAGCUCGCUACAACCUCCACCUCCCAGCCGCCUCCCUUGGCCUCCCAAAGUGCAGAGAUUGCAGCCUCUGCCCGGCCGCCACCCCGCCUGGGAAGUGAGGAGCGUCUCUGCCUGGCCGCCCAUUGUCUGGGAUGUGAGGAGCCCCUCUGCCUGGCUGCCCAGUCUGGAAAGUGAGGAGUGUCUCUGCCUGGCCGCCAUCCCAUCUAGGAAGUGAGGAGCGCCUCUUCCCGGCCGCCAUCCCAUCUAGGAAGUGAGGAGCCUCUCUGCCCAGCCGCCCAUCGUCUGAGAUGUGGGGAGCGCCUCUGCCCCGCCGCCCCGUCUGGGAUGUGAGGAGCGCCUCUACCCCGCCGCGACCCCGUCUGGGAGGUGAGGAGCGUCUCUGCCCGGCGGCCCCGUCUGGGAAGUGAGGAGACCCUCCGCCCGGCAGCCGCCCCAUCUGAGAAGUGAGGAGCCCCUCUGCCCAGCAGCCACCCUGUCUGGGAAGUGAGGAGCGUCUCUGCCCAGCAGCCACCCCGUCUGGGAGGGAGGUGGGGGGUCAGCCCCCCGCCCGGCCAGCCGCCCCGUCCGGGAGGUGAGGGGCGCCUCUGCCCGGCGGCCCCUACUGGGAAGUGAGGAGCCCCUCUGCCCGGCCAGCCGCCCCGUCUGGGAAGUGAGGAGCGUCUCCGCCCAGCAGCCACCCCGUCCGGGAGGGAGGUGGGGGGAUCAGCCCCCCGCCCGGCCAGCCGCCCAGUCCGGGAGGGAGGUGGGGGGGUCAGCCCCCCGCCCGGCCAGCCGCCCCGUCCGGGAGGUGAGGGGUGCCUCUGCCCGGCCGCCCCUACUGGGAAGUGAGGAGCCCCUCUGCCCGGCCAGCCGCCCGGUCCGGGAGGGAGGUGGGGGGGUCAGCCCCCUGCCUGGCAAGCCGCCCCGUCUGGGAGGGAGGUGGGGGGAUCAGCCCCCCGCCGGGCCAGCCACCCCGUCCGGGAGGUGAGGGGUGCCUCUGCCCGGCCGCCCCUACUGGGAAGUGAGGAGCCCCUCUGCCCGGCCAGCCGCCCCAUCCGGGAGUGAGGUGGGGGGGUCAGCCCCCUGCCCGGCCAGCCGCCCCGUCCGGGAGGUGAGGGGCGCCUCUGCCCGGCCGCCCCUACUGGGAAGUGAGGAGCCCCUCUGCCCGGCCACCACCCCGUCUGGGAGGUGUACCCAACAGCUCAUUGAGAACGGGCCAUGAUGACAAUGGCGGUUUUGUGGAAUAGAAAGCGGGGAAAGGUGGGGAAAAGAUUGAGAAAUCGGAUGGUUGCCGUGUCUGUGUAGAAAGAGGUAGACAUGGGAGACUUUUCAUUUUGUUCUGUACUAAGAAAAAUUCUUAUCCUGUUGAUCUGUGACCUUACCCCCAACCCCGUGCUCUCUGAAACAUGUGCUGUGUCCACUCAGGGCUAAAUGGAUUAAGGGCGGUGCAAGAUGUGCUUUGUUAAACAGAUGCUUGAAGGCAGCAUGCUCGUUGAGAGUCAUCACCACUCCCUAAUCUCAAGUAACCAGGGACACAAACACUGUGGAAGGCCGCAGGGUCCUCUGCCUAGGAAAACCAGAGACCUUUGUUCACUUGUUUAUCUGCUGACCUUCCCUCCACUAUUGUCCUAUGACCCUGCCAAAUCCCCCUCUGCGAGAAACACCCAAGAAUGAUCAAUAAAAAAAUAAAAUAAAAUAAAAUAAAAUAAAAUAAAUAAAGUUUCAUGCGCAUCCGUGUGAAGAGACCACCAAACAGGCUUUGUGUGAGCAGCAUGGCUGUUUAUUUCACCUGGGUGCAGGCGGGCUGAGUCCGAAAAGAGAGUCAGCCAAGGG
rnacentral:lncRNA from 10 species